AUGUAUGAUAUAUUCCCCAAAAUUGAAACAAUACAUGUAGAGAAGAUUACCAUAAUCCUGUAUAAAGAUGAUAACCUGAAUUCAUGAAGCAUUCCAUAUUUUU